GAGCCUACGGGAGGCAGCAGUGGGGAAUAUUGCGCAAUGGGGGAAACCCUGACGCAGCAACGCCGCGUGAGUGAAGACGUAUCUCGGUAUGUAAAGCUCUAUCAGCGGGGAAGAAGGAAGACGGUACCCGACUAAGAAGCCCCGGCUAACUACGUGCCAGCAGCCGCGGUAAUACGUAGGGGGCGAGCGCUAUCCGGAUUUAUUGGGUUUAAAGGGUGCGUAGGCGGUCCGUUAAGUCAGCGGUAAAAUUGCGGGGCUCAACCCCGUCGAGCCGUUGAAACUGGCAGACUUGAGUUGGCGAGAAG
rnacentral:rRNA from 1 species